GGUUAGACGAAGAAUCUAAAUGGAAUAAUAUGUUAUCUUAGUUCACAGUAAAUAUCUUCAAAGUAAAAUACUCUCCUUUUUCUAGGUAAAAUUUAUAUAAAGGCGUCAAUCAUCCCAGGAUAUUUAGAGGGUCUAAAAAACGAAGAUAAAAAACCAGGAUUAGAUACCCUGUUAUUCUUCAUAAUAAACUAAUAGGGUAGUAAAAGUUAUUCUUCAAACCCAAAGAUUUUGGCGGCAUUCUAACCAAACAGAGGAGCUUGUCUUAUAAUCGAUAAUCCCCGUUAUAUCUUACCUUUAUUAAUUUAGCUUGUAUACCUCCGUUGUCAGAUUACUCCAAAAGGACGUUCUCUAGAAAAACCAUUUUUUUACUUCAGGUCAAGGUGCAGUUAAUGUAGAGGAAAUGAUGAGCUACAAUUUUUUAUAAAAUACGGAUUUCAAAUUAAAAUCUGAUUGAAGGUGGAUUUGUUAGUAAGCUUUUUAAAGAAAAAAAGGCUGAAUCAGGCAAUAGAAUGUGUACAUAUCGCCCGUCACUCUCUUUCCAAGAAGAGAUAAGUCGUAACAAA
rnacentral:rRNA from 1 species